rnacentral:rRNA from 1 species
UACGUAGGUGACCAGCGUUGUCCGGAUUUACUGGGCGUAAAGAGCGCGCAGGCGGUUGUUCAAGUCGAGUGUGAAAGCCCCCGGCUCAACUGGGGAGGGUCAUUCGAUACUGAUCGACUGGAAGGCAGGAGAGGGAAGCGGAAUUCCCGGUGUAGUGGUGAAAUGCGUAGAUAUCGGGAGGAACACCAGUGGCGAAGGCGGCUUCCUGGCCCGUUCUUGACGCUGAGGCGCGAAAGCUAGGGGAGCAAACGGG